UACAGAGGUCCCAAGCGUUGUUCGGAUUCACUGGGCGUAAAGGGUGCGUAGGCGGUCGGGUAAGUCUGAUGUGAAAUCUCACAGCUUAACUGUGAAACUGCAUUGGAUACUAUCCGGCUCGAGGAAUGGAGGGGAGACUGGAAUACUUGGUGUAGCAGUGAAAUGCGUAGAUAUCAAGUGGAACACCAGUGGCGAAGGCGGCUCACUGGACCGGUACUGACGCUGAAGCGCGAAAGCGUGGGGAGCAAACGGG
rnacentral:rRNA from 1 species